GGAUUAGUUUGAUCCUGGCUCAGGAUGAACGCUAGCGGGAGGCCUAACACAUGCAAGCCGAGCGGUAUUUAUUCUUCGGAAUAGAGAGAGCGGCGUACGGGUGCGGAACACGUGUGCAACCUGCCUUUAUCAGGGGGAUAGCCUUUCGAAAGGAAGAUUAAUACCCCAUAAUAUAAGAAACGGCAUCGUUUUUUAUUGAAAACUCCGGUGGAUAGAGAUGGGCACGCGCAAGAUUAGAUAGUUGGUAGGGUAACGGCCUACCAAGUCAGUGAUCUUUAGGGGGCCUGAGAGGGUGAUCCCCCACACUGGUACUGAGACACGGACCAGACUCCUACGGGAGGCAGCAGUGAGGAAUAUUGGACAAUGGGUGAGAGCCUGAUCCAGCCAUCCCGCGUGAAGGACGACGGCCCUAUGGGUUGUAAACUUCUUUUGUAUAGGGAUAAACCUUUCCACGUGUGGAAAGCUGAAGGUACUAUACGAAUAAGCACCGGCUAACUCCGUGCCAGCAGCCGCGGUAAUACGGAGGGUGCAAGCGUUAUCCGGAUUUAUUGGGUUUAAAGGGUCCGUAGGCGGAUCUGUAAGUCAGUGGUGAAAUCUCAUAGCUUAACUAUGAAACUGCCAUUGAUACUGCAGGUCUUGAGUAAAGUAGAAGUGGCUGGAAUAAGUAGUGUAGCGGUGAAAUGCAUAGAUAUUACUUAGAACACCAAUUGCGAAGGCAGGUCACUAUGUUUUAACUGACGCUGAUGGACGAAAGCGUGGGGAGCGAACAGGAUUAGAUACCCUGGUAGUCC
rnacentral:rRNA from 1 species